rnacentral:rRNA from 1 species
AGUGAACGCUGGCGGUAGGCCUAACACAUGCAAGUCGAACGGCAGCACAGUAAGAGCUUGCUCUUACGGGUGGCGAGUGGCGGACGGGUGAGGAAUACAUCGGAAUCUACUUUUUAGUGGGGGAUAACGUAGGGAAACUUACGCUAAUACCGCAUACGACCUACGGGUGAAAGCAGGGGAUCUUCGGACCUUGCGCGAUUGAAUGAGCCGAUGUCGGAUUAGCUAGUUGGCGGGGUAAAGGCCCACCAAGGCGACGAUCCGUAGCUGGUCUGAGAGGAUGAUCAGCCACACUGGAACUGAGACACGGUCCAGACUCCUACGGGAGGCAGCAGUGGGGAAUAUUGGACAAUGGGCGCAAGCCUGAUCCAGCCAUACCGCGUGGGUGAAGAAGGCCUUCGGGUUGUAAAGCCCUUUUGUUGGGAAAGAAAAGCAGCAGGUUAAUACCCCGCUGUUCUGACGGUACCCAAAGAAUAAGCACCGGCUAACUUCGUG